rnacentral:misc_RNA from 1 species
UCUCUCCAAAAAUCAUUAAAAAAAUCGAAACAAUCCUUUAAUUUCUGUGUUUUUUAACACAUUUUACUCUUUUUAACUUUUUUUUUGGGAUUGAUCUGGUUUAGAAACGGUUCUGAUUUGAUCACAUCGUGGGAGAUUGAUAAAAGGGGAAGAUCCUUUCGUCAUAUAAAGAAGUGGGUUUGCGUUUAAAAGGUCUGCAAAAGAAGCAAGGGAAGUGAGAGGCGGCAAGGACGGGGCACUAGAUGAGCGACAGCUAAUUAGUCUUGUACUUUUUUAUAAGCUGUCCGUUAGAGGGCUGAAUAAAAUAGGAAAGAGUUACCCAGUGGUGCAGCGGCUGGAAGAAGUUUAGUACAGGGUUGAUAGAAAAUCCUUAUUCUAUAUUACCUAGUCCUUCUUCACCUUUCAUUAUACAACUUGUAUUAUCUGAGAUUCCUUUCUUCUCUUCUUAAACCAAUUCCUAAGUGGAAGUGUUUUGUCUUAUAUAUGCUUGUAUUGCCUUGCAAGUUUCCUUGAGGGCCUUCUGCCUGUUUGUGCUUUAAGUUUCUUGUUUUUGCUGUUUAGCUACAAAAUAAGCAAAUAUGAUGUUCUAGCUUGCCAUUUUACACAUAGAAGAUGGCGUUUCG